rnacentral:rRNA from 1 species
GAUGAACGCUGACAGAAUGCUUAACACAUGCAAGUCAUUGGCGAAGCUGCGCUUGCGCAGUCUAGCCAAGGCGGACGGGUGAGUAACGCGUAAGGAACUUGCCCUGCAGACAGGGAUAACAGACGGAAACGACUGAUAACACCUGGUAUUGUCAGGCUGGCGCAUGCCGGCCUGAUGAAAGGAGACGCUGCAGGAGAGCCUUGCGUCCUAUUAGCUAGUUGGUGGGGUAACGGCCCACCAAGGCGAUGAUAGGUAGCCGGCCUGAGAGGGUGAACGGCCACAAGGGGACUGAGAUACGGCCCUUACUCCUACGGGAGGAAGCAGUGGGGAAUAUUGGACAAUGGGGGCAACCCUGAUCCAGCAAUUCUGUGUGCACGAAGAAGGUUUUCGGAUUGUAAAGUGCUUUCAGCAGGGAAGAAGAAAGUGACGGUACCUGCAGAAGAAGCGACGGCUAAAUACGUG